rnacentral:rRNA from 1 species
CCUACGGGAGGCAGCAGUGGGGAAUAUUGGACAAUGGACGAAAGUCUGAUCCAGCAAUGCCGCGUGAGUGAUGAAGGCCUUAGGGUUGUAAAGCUCUUUUACCAGGGAUGAUAAUGACAGUACCUGGAGAAUAAGCUCCGGCUAACUCCGUGCCAGCAGCCGCGGUAAUACGGAGGGAGCUAGCGUUGUUCGGAAUUACUGGGCGUAAAGCGCACGUAGGCGGUUAUUCAAGUCAGAGGUGAAAGCCCGGGGCUCAACCCCGGAACUGCCUUUGAAACUAGAUAGCUAGAAUCCUGGAGAGGUGAGUGGAAUUCCGAGUGUAGAGGUGAAAUUCGUAGAUAUUCGGAAGAACACCAGUGGCGAAGGCGGCUCACUGGACAGGUAUUGACGCUGAGGUGCGAAAGCGCGGGGAGCAAACAGGAUUAGAUACCCUGGUAGUCCACGCCGUAAACGAUGAUAACUAGCUGUCCGGGCACAUGGUGCUUGGGUGGCGCAGCUAACGCAUUAAGUUAUCCGCCUGGGGAGUACGGUCGCAAGAUUAAAACUCAAAGGAAUUGAGG